AGAGUUUGAUCAUGGCUCAGAGCGAACGCUGGCGGCGUGCUUAACACAUGCAAGUCGAGCGAGAAAGGGGGUUUCGGCCCCUGAGUACAGCGGCGAACGGGUGCGUAAUACAUGAGCAAUCUACCCUUGAGGCGGGAAUAACCCAGCGAAAGUUGGGCUAAUACCGGAUAAGACCACAAGAGGAGACCCUAGAGGUCAAAGGCAGCUUUCUUUUGGAAGCGGCCCUUUGAGGAGGAGCUCAUGUCCUAUCAGCUAGUUGGUAGGGUAACGGCCUACCAAGGCGAAGACGGGUAGCUGGUCUUAGAGGAUGAUCAGCCACACGGGGACUGAGACACGGCCCCGACUCCUACGGGAGGCAGCAGUGGGGAAUAUUGGGCAAUGGGCGAAAGCCUGACCCAGCGACGCCGCGUGGGUGAUGAAGGCCUUCGGGUCGUAAAGCCCUGUCAGGAGGAAAGAACGAUCUUGUGGUGAAUACCCACGAGAUGUGACGGUACCUCCGAAGGAAGCACCGGCCAAUUCCGUGCCAGCAGCCGCGGUAAGACGGAAGGUGCAAGCGUUGCUCGGAAUCACUGGGCGUAAAGGGUGCGUAGGCGGCUUCUUAAGUCUGGUGUGAAAGCCCAGGGCUCAGCUCUGGAAGUGCACUAGAUACUGGGGAGCUUGAGUACCGGAGGGGAGAGUGGAAUUCCUGGUGUAGCGGUGAAAUGCGUAGAUAUCAGGAGGAAUACCGGUGGCGAAAGCGACUCUCUGGACGGUUACUGACGCUGUGGCACGAAAGCGUGGGGAGCAAACAGGAUUAGAUACCCUGGUAGUCCA
rnacentral:rRNA from 1 species